rnacentral:lncRNA from 1 species
CCCAGCCGGCACACGACCGACCUUCAACGUUGAAAUAUGGUUGAAAUAAGGUCAGUUGUGUUUUGAACGUUGAAAUAAUGUUGAUAGAACGUUUAAUGUUGAAUGGUUGAAAAACAGCCUGCACAUGACAAGGCUUCAACGUUGAAAUGUGGUUGAAAAUAUGUCAGUUGUUGCUUUAAUGUUGAAACAAUGUUGAAUGAUAAAUGGUUGAAAAAAGUUACAGAAAUCCUUGUACAAAUCAACGUUGACAUUUUUUUAUCAUGAUCUGUAUGUUGAAUUAACGUCAUGGCUUCACCCAAUAUUCAACAUGUUUGGUUACCAUGGUAUUGGAGGACUCCGCGCACGCGGCCACGCGCAGCGCUUCACUUCACUUAAUUACGAACACCUGACCUGCAGUGCAGCAGAAUUCCGAGAGACGCACUAACUUGCACAGCAUUGAAUGGAAAAGGCUUUGUCCAUGUCCAGUUGAGGGCAUCAAGAACACGCAGAUGGCCUAAACCUGUGUCAGCCUGGACAGACUGCAGUUCUGCUACUCCACGCCAAGGCUUUUGUAUGGAUGUCUUGACUACUACUGUGUUCUCUAAAGGUUUUCUGGAAGCUCCAUUUGAGGGCAUCAAGGACAUACUGAUGGCCUAAACCAGUGUCAGCCUAGACAGACAGACAUCUAUUGCAGUUCUGCUACACAAGACCAAACUCUCUGCUUUUGUAUGGAUGUCUGACUAGUAUGGUGUUCUCUAAAGGUGUAACUGGAGCAAAACAACAGCACCCGUUACAGUGAAAUUUGUGUUCAUAAAAGAUAGUGAUAUAUCAGGUAUAGUAACAGGUCCAGUACAUUUGUCAUAAAGGUUAAAUCACAGUAAGUACUGUAAAAAUAACUUGUUUGCCUUUGCCACAACAGGUCAUGGUGUGUGCAUACUACUCGUAGUAAACACACACGCUGAUCUGAUGGGGGAGAGAUAUACGCAAACACAUUUGUAUUUACUGUUUUGUUUUGCCUCACUAAAGUGUUGUUGGAGCUUGGUAUGUUCACAGUUGAAAUCACUGAAGUCACAUGGAACGUUUUGACAAUGUGUUUUGUGCCUUAUCUUGACAAUGACCAUCUUGGGACCAUUGCUGUCUGUAGAGGAUGAGGAGCAUUUAAUCUAAAAUAUUUUAGUUUGU